AUUGAACGCUGGCGGCAGGCCUAACACAUGCAAGUCGAGCGGAGCGGCGGACGGGUGAGUAAUGCCUAGGAAUCUGCCUGGUAGUGGGGGAUAACGUCCGGGAACGGGCGCUAAUACCGCAUACUAUCAGAUGAGUCUAGGUCGGAUUAGCUAGUUGGUGGGGUAAAGGCUUACCAAGGCGACGAGCCGUAACUGGUCUGAGAGGAUGAUCAGUCACACUGGAACUGAGACACGGUCCAGAGUCCCACGCGAGGCAGCAGUGGGGAAUAUUGGACAAUGGGCGCGAGCCUGAUCCAGCCAUGCCGCGUGUGUGAAGAAGGUCUUCGGAUUGUAAAGCACUUUAAGUUGGGAGGCGUUACCAACAGAAUAAGCACCGGCUAACUUCGUGCCAGCCGACGCGGUAAAUC
rnacentral:rRNA from 1 species